UAGACACCACAUAUAUUGUUUAGCAAUCAGUUUGGGUACACAAUAGUCGUUUCAUGCUUAUAUGUAAUAUUCUUAGGCAAUUAUUUAAGUGAAUACCUGUUACUUUGGCCAAGCUGAUCAUCCAAAUUGAAUUCCACCUUCAGUUCUCUUCAUAGCUGUGUUCUUGCACUUCCUUUAUCCCAAUUGAGUUCGGCUCUAAUCCCCCACCAUUGACCUCCACUGCACCCCCUGAUUCAGAUAUUUUUGUUAUCCUCUGCAACUCAUCUGUUACAUCUGUUGAAUGAGAAACAGAUUGAUCCUCUGCCAACUGUUCUUUCUGAACUGACGAUUUUGGCCGUCGGAUGGCUUCCGCUGCUUCAGGCAUUGCAACAGGGGGUGGCUGGGGAGGAACCCAUGUACGCUGAAUCGGUUGCUCAUUAGUUCGUGCACCAUAAUGUCCAUCCUCGAGUUCAUCUUCAUUUUCAAUCUCUGUGAUUCUGGCAUUCUUCCGCUGCCACCAAGGUAUGGCACUCUCACCAUCAAACUGAUAGGUCACACCAUUGUCUUGUACCUUGGAAUUCAAAUCUUCUCCAUUUACUUGAGACUGGAGAGCUUGGCUUGAAUUGUUUAGGGAUUGACCAGCCUCCCAAGGCUUACUCUUUGGUGCUAAGCGAGUAUUUGAAAUUUGCUGGUUAGGGUUGGGCGGUUGAUCAUUGAUAUCUCUGAUGUUAGC
rnacentral:misc_RNA from 1 species